rnacentral:lncRNA from 1 species
CUGGCAGGCAUUCUACCAACGCACGAUGAAUGAAUUCACAAAUGAUUGACUCAGCCUGCGCCAUCGUGUGUGUGUACGUGUGUGUCUGGAAGGUGAAAAUGGGCUGGGCCUGGGCCAGCCAAGGCCAGUUUAGCCCCAGGGAAGCGUUAGGUAAGCUUCCAUGGCAACACAGUUCAGUGUGUGUUUUCUGUGCUCCCAACAGAAUUCCAGGCUGAGCGCGUCUAUUCCCCAAGGCCUCGCUGCCUCCUUCCUUGUCUCCCCAGGUCUCCCGGAAACUAUGAAGCAAGCAGCAUCUCCAUCUUAGAGCUGAAGCAACAGCCUCCAGGUUAAGCAUAGCUGGCACUCAAGCAGUAGAAAAUGGGAGAGACAGAACCAGACCCUGUCUGCCUCCGAAGGCGAGCCUCGCU